GACAGAGGUCCCGAGCGUUAGGCGGAAUCACUGGGCUUAAAGCGUGUGUAGGCGGCGGCCUAAGUACCUUGUGAAAUCCCACGGCUCACCCGUGGAACUGCUCGGUAUACUGGGUCGCUUGAGCCACUUAGGGGCUACCGGAACAAAUGGUGGAGCGGUGAAAUGCGUAGAUAUUGGAAAGAACACCGAUGGCGAAGGCACUCUACUGGGCUAUUACUGACACUCAGAGACGAAAGCUAGGGGAGCAAAUGGG
rnacentral:rRNA from 1 species